AUUUAGCCCCGAUUGAAGUGAAAAUCUUUUUUCUAUACCUGACAGGUUUUAAAAACCUGUCAGGUAUAGAAAAAAGAUUGCAACGAAAAGCGGGAAAAUGG
rnacentral:sRNA from 1 species